rnacentral:rRNA from 1 species
CCUACGGGGCGCAGCAGUGAGGAAUAUUGGUCAAUGGGCUUACGCCUGAACCAGCCAAGUCGCGUGAGGGAAGACUGCCCUAUGGGUUGUAAACCUCUUUUGUCAGGGAGCAACGCCGGCUACGUGUAGCCGGACUGAGAGUACCUGAAGAAAAAGCAUCGGCUAACUCCGUGCCAGCAGCCGCGGUAAUACGGAGGAUGCGAGCGUUAUCCGGAUUUAUUGGGUUUAAAGGGUGCGCAGGCGGCGAGUUAAGUCAGCGGUAAAAUUUCGGGGCUCAACCCCGACGAGCCGUUGAAACUGGCUUG